rnacentral:rRNA from 1 species
AGUCGAGGGGUAACGGAAGUAGCUUGCUACUAGACGACGACCGGCGCACGGGUGAGUAACGCGUAUGUAAUCUGCCUUGUACAGAGGGAUAGCCCAGAGAAAUUUGGAUUAAUACCUCAUAGUAUUACUGAGUCGCAUGAUUUGGUAAUUAAAGCUCCGGCGGUACAAGAUGAACAUGCGCGACAUUAGCUAGUUGGUAAGGUAACGGCUUACCAAGGCUACGAUGUCUAGGGGUUCUGAGAGGAUGAUCCCCCACACUGGUACUGAGACACGGACCAGACUCCUACGGGAGGCAGCAGUGAGGAAUAUUGGUCAAUGGACGCAAGUCUGAACCAGCCAUCCCGCGUGAAGGAUGACUGCCCUAUGGGUUGUAAACUUCUUUUAUAUGCAAAUAAACCUACUUUCGUGAAAGUAGCUGAAGGUAGCAUAUGAAUAAACACCGGCUAACUCCGUGCCAGCAGCCGCGGUAAUACGGAGGGUGUAAGCGUUAUCCGGAUUUAUUGGGUUUAAAGGGUACGUAGGCGGUAAUAUAAGUCAGUGGUGA